UUAGUCUGGACUCCAGCUAAAUGAACUAGACAUUCUCCAGCUGUUUUUCCUCAUUCCAGUUUCUAGACUGAACUACAAGCUCCCCCUGCAGAAAAACACACAGGGAUUGCUCAUGCAGUGUUAUGGUCAGCUUAAAAAGAAAAAAAGAAGAAGAAAAAAAAAGUAGUUUGGAGGAAGCAAGGAAGCACAUAGAGUGGCUUCUACAGCUGUUGUACAAUAGUUUCACAUCCAGCACCAACUGCGGUCUCAGGCUUCUGCAGAUGAAGGUUUUGCUUCUUCCAAUGGGGGUGAAAAGGGAUUCAGCAGAAAGCCCGAGGGUAAGCACAGUCAGACCAGCAGCAGAAUUCACCCACGUGCCCUCAGCAUCCAGCUCAUCUCUCACCUCUCUCCUGUGCCUUUUGAAGUCAGUAUUGCAACACCCCCCGGACUCCUGCUGCAAUCUGUGGCAGGUUACCACUACUCGUGCUUAUCAUCUUUGUCACGAUGUUUCCAUCCCAGGCACUCUCAGAAAAACCUGCACAGUUGGAGCUCGGCUGGUUACCCUCGGGGCAGUGCAAAGGAGAAGAGGCUGCUGCUCCCUGCUCCACCUUCUGGCUCUGCAGGGCAGGCAGCAGGAGCAGACUGUUUGCACUAAAGCAAACCAAGCAGAAGGAGCUUGAUAAUAAAUGGGAGGCAGAUAUCUGGCACCAAGGUGCUAGUUUUAUGGUUGGUUUUCCAAGCGUUUCAAAAUGCACCGGGAAAUUGAUUUGUCAUCAGGACAAGAGCCUGUGCUCAUCAGGUCUGUCAGGUUCAGUUUUCAGCUGAGUUAUCUGAUUCACUAGUGCUCUUUUCCUACCGUUCUAUUUAAGACAAAUAAAGGCUUCAAAUCCAUGUUGUAAUUUUCCCAGGCUUUUAUUGAAAUGCACAGGAGAGGGGCUCUGAAGAGCUAUUUAUUCAUGCUUUCCCCAUUAGCUCGUACAUGCCUGUAAAAACAAAAGGACCAAAAAAACCCACUCUUGAUGCUUACACAAACCCAAACAAUUUACAGUCUUGUAACACCCUUACUCUUCUGGAAAUUUUUGGACAGUGUCAGUUCACACCAUCUGUUUGAACUAACGGUCCCCAGAAUUCAGGUAGUAGAGUACUUUCACACUUGCAUAGAGCUUUGUUGCCACAUAUAAAAUCUUUUGCACCUGUGCUGCUUUAUUCCUAUAUGUGGAUAUGCAAAUAAAGUUUGAAAAUACA